rnacentral:pre_miRNA from 1 species
AGAUGAAGGAAUUUGGGUUCAUAUGUAAAUAUGAUAUGAACACAAAUUCCUUCAUCUC